rnacentral:rRNA from 1 species
AUUCCAGCUCCAAUAGCGUAUAUUAAAGUUGUUGCAGUUAAAAAGCUCGUAGUUGGAUUUCUGGUGGGAGCGAUCGGUCUGGCGCUUAGCGCCAGUACUUGCAUCGUCUCCGGCCAUCCUUGGGGAGAGUUUGUCUGGCAUUAAGUUGUCGGGCAAAGGAUCCUCAUCGUUUACUGUGAAAAAAUUAGAGUGUUCAAAGCAGGCUUAUGCCGUUGAAUAUAUUAGCAUGGAAUAAUAAGAUAGGACUUCGGUCAUAUUUUGUCGGUUUCUGUAACUGAAGUAAUGAUUGAUAGGGAUAGUUGGGGGUGCUAGUAUUGAGCGGCCAGAGGUGAAAUUCUUGGAUUCGCUCAAGACUAACUUAUGCGAAAGCAUUCACCAAGGAUGUUUUCAUUA